AGCGAAAACCGAAAGUACUGCUAAGCUGCUUGCCGAAGCAAGAGUAAGGGGAAGUUCCAGCUACCGUCAUUGGUAGUAAGAAGGAACUGAGGAGGUGGUGGGUCAGCAGGACCCUUUACUGGGCGCCAUGAAGGUGCAACUCAUGGGGGGGCCCAGGCUGACCCCACAGAUGCUGGUAGAGGAAAAAUCUUCCUGCUACUGUGCACGUGCACGCGCACACACCUGAUUGGAAUUGACAUGAACAAGCACUCGAAGAAGAACUGGCCCUAGCAAUGUUCCAUAGGUAGGCACAUUCGAGUCUCCAUUUGAGUAUCAGGUGCCAAGAUUAAUCAGAAUAACAAGAUUACACAAGCUUGUAUCUGGCCUUUCUAGUUGCCAUUACCUCUGAAAUGCAACUUUUGGAAUUAGCUCCCCUAUCUCUACAAGAACUACACUGUUGUUGUCAUGAGGAAAAGGUUACUCUUAUAGCUCCAGAAAUCUUUCUGAUCAAGAUAAGUUCCUCUCUCCACAAUUGCUGGGAAACAGGUCUCCGGUUGUUUUGUUCUAAACCUUGGAAAGUUGUGUCAUAAAUAGGUAUUCCUAGUGCUUUAAAAUAUAUUUGAAGCACAUGGAGUACAUGUACCAGUUGUGUCCUGUUCAUCUAAUGCUAUCCAAAAUGUCAAGGUAAUAUAAGGCAUCAAAGUUGCUCCAGGCAAAACACAAAAGUGGCAUGCUAGGCAUCCCAGAAGUCUUUAGAGGCACUGGAGGGAAAGUGUAUGAGCCUCAUCUGAGGAAGAUUUGCAAAGCGAGUUUCCAUUUCUCCACAGGAAGCUGCUACUGGGUUGGUUCCCACAUAAUUCCUUAGAUUACAGAGCUCUGGCUCUUUAUGGAGGGAAACUUCCAUUCUUGCCUAUUAUUCAACUAUAAUAAUAAUUAAAGCAUCCUUUCCCCCUCCCCCACUUUUUGGAUUCACUGCUUGCUGCUUCCCAUUAGUGAUGAAUGAGGAGAGAUGCUGUGCAAGAGAAUGCCAAAUUUCUUACCUGAUCAUUUUCUUUCCAUUAGCAGCUUCUCUCCUCAUUCAGCCCACCCUGGUAGUCUGGUAAAUGACUAGAGGGAAAGUUAGAUAUUUAUAAUUGUUUUAAGGUUAAUUUAACACCUUGUAUCAGGUUGUCUUAAUGCUAAUAAUUGGUUGCUGUAGUAUUUCUACAGCUGUAGAAGUACUCCUCCAGUGGCCUGUAUGGAAGGGUGGGGCUUAGUCCUGGAGCCUACAGAAACAAUACUGGACUGCCUCUGAAUUCUGGAGGGGUGGAGGGUUUAACCCAUUAGAAAUGAACAAGAAGAGAAACUGCUAAAAGAAAAUUAUCAGAGACUGUCCAGUUUGACGAAUGUAUCCUGCUCAGUCUCAGCACCUUUCUCUUAAAAGAGUGUUAGACACUAUGAAAACAAAGGUUAGAGCAUGAGGAAAUGCAGAGUUAAGGGAAUAUUUCUCACACAAGACAACCACAACUCUGCCCUUGUAUGGCUACCAGGAUGACCUUAUAACAUCACAGUACUUUUCUUUACCUAACAUAAGUUAUAAUUUCCCCUACGCCCAGCACAACUUCAAAUACAGAGAAGGGAACCCAGGCAUUCCUAAACUUUAGGUCUGAUGGAGAACCAAGAUCAGAGGAAAGCUUAGCACUGACACGAAUGCAUUUAACUGGAAACUUCCAGAGCAAUGGAACAGACUCGGCACUGAAGAACCUGCACUGAUAGCACCAGCCAGUUUUUGGCCAGAAAAGGCACUGAAUUCCCCAGUACCUCACACACCCCGAGAUAAAGGUUCAAAUGACAAAACCAGCCUCUUUGGCACUGGAGAUCUGGAAGUGAAACUAGACUUAGUGUUCUGACUCAAAACCCGAUAAUAGUGCUGGGCACAUUAGGGACUUCUAAAGUUUCUUUUGCCUGAGAAUUGGGGCCUGACUAGUGGAUGGAUCCGAAGAGCUGGCUUGUAUGCCUUCUGUCAUGAGGAAGGCCAGGAGCUAAAUGUGCCUAUCCUUUCAAGUCCAAGGCAUGAAGACACAGCAAGCCAAACAAUCUGAGGGAUGGCCUUCCCCAAUGCACAGGAGACAAGGAGUACCAAUAAUACCACAUGGACUUUUUUCAGGUCUUUGGAUGGAGCUCAGAUUGUGAAGGAUGGGAAGAUGCCUGUAAUAUUUUAUGAAUAUUUCCAUCUAUUUGUGAUUGUGUUGUUUGCUCUAUGAUUGUCAAAUUCAAGGAUUAAUUCAUGCAGGACUUACUUACAUUUUCACAGGAAAGGACAAUAGCUUCAGAUUGCCCCAUUUAAAAACACUUAAAAGGACAAUGCAGGUGUCAUCCCCCUUGAAAUUUCUCUCUGACCAUGCUGAGAUCAAUUGUAUGGCUGGGGACCUGGGGCGGGGGAAGGGUUUCAGCUUGUACCAAAGAGAGGUGAUGCCUUCAGGCAAGAAACUGGAACAAACAACUUUGGGACUGAGAAACUGAGAGCUCUUAAAGCACAGAGGAGAGAGAGGGUCAGUGAGGAAGCAAACUAAACCCCAGUCCCCAGAGGUGGGGGUACUCAAGUAAAGGUAGGCCAACCUAAGCUUUGGGUAAGACCGAUAUACGCUUAGAUAUUAUGUUACAUUAAAACUUUUUAUCUUGCUAUGCUCUGGUCCUAUUAUUAUGAUUAAACAAUACUUUGCA